UUUUAAACACACAACCCUGAGUUAACUGUUGGUGGACUGAACCAUCAUUCCAGCUGUGUUGUACCUUAGCCUGCUCCCUGCAGCUGGUUUCUUUUGAAGGUCAGCCCAGCUUGACUUAGCCCUAACGUUGCUGCUGUUGCCAAUAAAGAAAACUUUCCUUUCUCCCACACUCUCAGUCAGUGUGCAGCUGAGUGCUAAGGCUUCUAUGCAGUCCCAUCACCACACAAAACCUGCAAAUGCCAAUUUGCAUUCUGGUCUCCUGCCUAUCAGUAGCAGAUGACAGCCAUACAGCAGAAUUGAGAUGUGACUCAUAUGUGUCACUCUUCUCCAUGAUAUAAUGGAUUGAACAUUGCUUAUGUCCAGCUGAACAGGUGACACUGGCUUUACUAGAAAUGUGCAACUUUAAAAGUUAGUUUAAACUUUAACCUGAUUAAUGGUAUCUGUAUACAACACUGCUGAAAUCAUCACAGGACCUCAGAAGAGUUGGUGAAGAGGUGAAUUUUGAAGAAAAGACGACCUCUGACAUAAGUGGGCAUUGAGGCCAUGACCAGGUCUUCACUGAGCAAUGGGCCUUGCAAAUAAGAUAUGAAAAUAUGAUUGUGGAACCUGAGCUGUAAAAUCCAGUCAAAUCAGGAAUUUAUUAACAGUGGAGUAAUGAAACCUGCUUUUCAUGUGUCUGAAGGCUGGAUUCCCUCAUGUGUCAUAAGGAGUAAGAUGACACAAGAAUGGAUGGAUGGACAACAUGGGAAGCACCUGCUCGCUGCAGGGAGGAAGAAGGAGGAUUCAAGAGAUGCAGGAAGAAAGCAUGUUGCAUUUUAAGGCUACAGGAGCAGUGAAAAGCAUAAUGCAACAAGUUCUUCAUGUAAUGGAGAAGCAAGCGAGAAGAGCUUUAUUUAAAGAAACACUACACAUAUAUAUAGGGUAACACAUGCAAAACAAAACAGAAAAGACUCGUUGGUCAAAGAAGGCAACACCUCUCUAAAAAACAUACUUUAGCAGAACAUCAUGUCUCUCAUGCACCCUGCAGGUGUUUAAUCAUUUUUAUAAUUCCUUGACCUUGUUAAGGCCUGAGAAAGGCAAGGCCUCAAGGCUGCCUUUUCCCUGGUUCCCAGCAGUAUCCAACGACAAAAGCAAAUAUAGGAAGAAUAAGAGGUAGAUAGUGAAAGGUAUCACAACCCCAAAACUCAAGUGAUUUACUGGAUGAUUUUACGAUAUCAUGAGGAAGUUGUCUUUUCAUUGAAGCUGAAACUUCUCAAAUUAGAGAAAUACAAAGACCUACUUGGAUACCCCACUAAAAUUAAAGAUGCCUGUCGUGGAAUGGGUGUUGGUGAAGCUGACAGAGGAAGAGGGAUUCACCAGCAUACCGGGCCCUCUUUGCCUGGUGGCAUUUUUGGGAGAUGAUCAGUCAGAGCUCUGCCUCAGAGGGAUGAUGGAAAUCACGUACUCUGUGUAAAGUGGAGUAAGCGCUUCUAUGUCUGACAAUUCCCUCGAAACAACCGUUUUGAAGAUAAAUGGAGAAGGGGGCCUU